UCACCCACCACCCACUCAGGGUAACAAUGAAGAUUAAGCAAUGAAAAUUAAGCUGAUUAUUAUUGUGGUUUAUUGGCUAAGAUAGAGUACUAUUUAGAAUCUUUACAUGUACGGUUGACUAAUGACUUUUAUUAGAAGAUACUUAUGUAUGUAGGAUAUGUUUUUUGUUAGAGUAUUAUUAGUAAAUUCUAAGUGAUAUUAUGGUUA